AAGUGCAAAAUGGACGAUCGGUUGCCAAGCCCGCGAUAGGUAGCUGGCUUGGCAAUUUUGUCCUCAAGACACGCCGGAUUCUGCUGACACACCUAAUUUCUGCAUUCCACGAAGCGCUCCUUCGGAGUCUGGAGGGGAUUCCCCGACAGAUUUUCAGAAUCAAUCGACCACAUAGAUGUUGUUUCCCAUACUGCAACUUGCCCCGUUCAGAAUUCCGAUCCUCUCCGCUGCCCGAUUUUUUAUUUUUUUAUUUUUUUUGUUUCGCUUGGCUUCAAUAUCUUUUUGUUUUUUUUUUUACUUAACGAUAUUAAGGGGGUUCUUUUGGGCGUUAGAGGAGUGAAACGUUAAACAAACUCCAAAAACGCUAUUUUUGGUGGGGCAGCGGCGGAUGUAGGUGGUAGUCCCUCCUUAUGGGAAACAGGGGCAGCAGUCUUUCGAUUGUUCCCCCUGAUCCCUUUUCUUCGAAAUUCCUCCCGUGAGAUGAAACGCUUCGCGCUUCGUGGCAGCCAGUACGGUGUAGCCUAGACGUCGGUUUGGUGGUCUCCUUCCUCCAUUCCGGACGAUCUCCAACGUCGACGAUCCAUGAAAAGUGUAAAACUCGGUGCCCAGGAUUCGAACCCGGGUCCUAGACGUUAGCAGCCAACUACACUAAGCACGUCGCUACCGUCGUCCUUAAUAAUACAAGCUCGUAUAAACAUAUUUAAUUCCUUGACUGUUACGACACACGAAUUCUGGUGUCAACAAAGUUUCGGGCCGCGUAAACCAUUUAUACGGGUGUCGCUUAUUUCACUACUUGCAGCGUCCAAACGAUUCAACGCGAGGGCUUUUGUUGCGAUGAAUUCAGUGGAAGACAUGAGCUAAUUCUGGAACUGGCGUUCAUUUUUUCAUCUGGCAAACUAUACGGCCACGCGAAAAUUACUUGCAAGAACGAGCAGAUAUUUUAGAAAAAUAUACGCGAUAAUUUUAACAAAUUUAGUGACAGCAAUUAUUAUCUUUAAUCAUUGUAUCGAUAUUUAGUAGUAGUGAAUAAUAAAAUACCAUUUGUUAUAUCUCGUAUCAUACUUGGUAGUUUUAGAAUUAUAAAACACCUUACAUUUUAAUUAAACCUUGAUGAUUAAAAUACAAUUGAUUUGUUUCGGGAAAGUUAUAAAUUGUUGGAAUUCUUAUCGCAAAGUUUUUAAAUAGUACGAGAGUGUCCUUACAAUUAAAGAAAUAUAAGAAGUUGUACUUGUUGUAGGAAUAACUUCAUUUUAAUGAGUAUGGAAAUGAGAGUAUUUAACAUUGCAAAAAGCACAAAUAUCCAAAAAACAACAUUUCCGCGUUAUGGAAAGAAAAGCCAUCUAUUGUAAGACACGUUUCACAGAUAGACGGUGUAUAUAAAGGAUUCUGAAAUUCUGGACGCGACAUUUAACGACGAAAAGCACAGAGGAUUAACCGUACAAGAGUAAUUUUGCAUUUCUUCCAGAGCAACGUAUCACCGUCACAAACUACUGUGCAACACGCUUUAUUUAAACGCGACAGAACCGGUCGAAAGUGAAUCAAACAAUUUCCGCGUCGCACCUUGAAACUUCGUAAAUCACUGAGCGCGUAAUACGUCUCAACUUCGGAUUACAAACUAACGAUCUCUUAUAUAGAACAGUAAGCCAUUUAUUUCGUUCUAUGGAAAGACACAAGACAUUAGGUUCAAUCAGACAACGUUGACGAAGUUUCAUUUAGGCAUUUAUCUUUCACACUCUGUAUCGCGUAUUGUUUUGUAGAAAGAUCAAUUAUAGAAUAGUGAAUUAAAUAUAAAGGAGUUCAUCAAAAUUAUAUUUAUAGAAAUUAUCAAUUUUUUGUACUCCUGUGUACGUGUACGGUGGCGAACAAACAGAAGUUUACAGAGUAAAACGAGAGAAACGCUAUAAUUUUAUAAAUCUGAAUUAUGAUUAACAAGAAGCGACAAAAAAUGGAAAAGGGAAAUGAUUGUUAUAUAUAAAUAAAAAUCCAUAAAUAUUAUGGAUUUCGAAACAUGGCUUUUCAGAAAGUUUUAAAACAUAAGUAUGGUAAAAUUACCAAUCGUUUGGUUAAACGUAUCGAAAAAUUACUGCAGUAUGAAGCAUUACAAAUUUUUCAUUGUUCAGAAAUAUUCCUAUUUGAGCUUCGACUUUAAGAAUGUUUAUUGGAUAUUAUUCAAUUUUUAUUAUUCGUUCAAGUGCCUGAUUUGUCCUGCUUCUGACUCAAGUAAUUAAUAUUUUACUAUAUUCAUUUGCAAAUGAACAAUAAUAACACUGGAAAAGUUAACAGUAAGAAAAUUCCAUGGAGGAUAAAUCAAACAACGUGAACGAACGAGGUGAACGCAAUUGAAACUGCAAAACCACGUCCAUCAAGAUCCACCGCAGGUGUAGUUGAUGGGACGUUGAAAUCUAUAUAAAGAAAGAAGAAAAUGAUCGACGACAGAAAACACAGUUCUACAAAACAUGGGUGAAAAAACGUUUUCUCGCUCGACGUGUCUAUCAAAUUUUAAUUAAGUCUGACGCGUAACAAACGGUUGCACGAGUACACCCUCGAAUUGCUUUUACGCCGAUGGAAACGGGGCACGCUGCCAAUUCUCAACCCUUGUGAACGAUAAGCCAAAAUUAAUCAUUUUUAGGCAAGUUAGAUGCAUUCGCGGGUUAACAGCGUGCAAGCGAUACAAAUGAUAAAUAUCAAAAUAAAAAAUGAGGGAAAAGAAAGAGAAACGGAAGAGUAUGUUCCUUAUGCAGAGAUUUAAGAGUUAUCAGUUUGUAACGUUACAAUAUUAGGAUAUUCCUUAAGUAAUAUCGUAUUUACGUAAUAUGUAUAUUUAAAAGAUUAAAACGUUGAGUUUAUUAUAUUUAUUAGCGAAUGAUUCUUAUCCGUUGUCUACUAGAAACGUGUUUAUUUCCUCGCAAUUUUUAAAUUCCUCUGAAAAAUUAUGAUUAUUUUGAUAACUAAUCUAUUGUAUAAAUCAUAUAAAAUAUUUUGAAAUUGUCACUAGUCCUGUCAAAAGACAAGACUGUCAUUAUUAUAUUGGUAAAAUUUGAAACUCGUCUGAAAAUAUACAGAAAAAUUACAAAAUAUUUACUACAAACGUGUGAAAUAAUAAUAUACAACAUAUCUAUAAACUAUAACAACCUGAUUCCAGAGAACAACAUUAUUUCGCACCAAUCAAAGUUUCACGAUACUUAAUACAGAAAAAUGCUCUUAACGAGGAAGACAAUUAAAAAGUGUACUGAGAAAGUUACCCAAGUGUGAGCAAAGUUGUGAAGCAUCAUCGAACAGUGUGGCUAGUCGUUGAACGAUCCUCGACUUGCCCAAUCAUGUUCGACUAUCAGCUUCAACGUGCAAAGAGAAAAUUGGAUCUAUAGGGCGCAACAAGCGUCGUAUCGCUCUAUAAAAGCUAAUGAUUUUAGUCUGCUGGCAUGGUCGAGACCUAUUCGCACAAGGCUUCUCGCAGACUACCGAACGAUCAGCCAUAACAGGAACAGAAGGGUGGACACACAGACAGAAGGAAAGAAGAAACUUUCCAAGUUAUUGUCGUGUGCGUUUGAGAGGAUCAGAUAGGUCUGAUGAAGAUAUAAGCAGCUGUAAACUGUUGCUUCAACCAUGUCAGAAAAUCGUCCAAAAAAGUCCAAAAAAGACGGUCUAUUUAAAAUAACCGAUAAGAUGAAGUCUAUUGGAUUCUAGGAAUUUUUAUUUUCAGUCAUUUGAAAAGUGCUAAGGCGAAGGAAAUCCAUCAGAGUCUAUUUUUGUAACAAUUUGAAAAAUACGCAUUUUGAUACAUUGUACGUACCGUCUACUGCAAAAUGAUCGUCACACGAACUACAAACUGGUUUAUCGUUUGACACAUAUUUUUUUCUUGUAAAUAACUAUUAUAUUGAUCCCGAACGAAAGGAAAUUCUUACGUUAUUGGGAUAAUUUUGCAUAAUAAAUAAAUUGGAGAUAUUGAUGCAUUCGUUGGAAAUUAAAGAAUGCACAGAAUGUAGAUAUUACACAAAACGAUAUAAAAUAUUCAAGAAUGACAAUCGAAAGAGGAGGAUCAUCGCGAAAGAAUUCUUCAUCGAAAAAGGAUUUUCAUAAAUAUGGUAUAUUAACGGAGAAAAUUCGAUGGACAAGCAGAAAAUGAAAUUCAUUCACGCUCCAACAUUUUAAGCUUCGCGUUGAAUGUUUAAUCGUAUUCGGCAUUUAUAAAAUAUCGUUUGCUUGAGAUUUAGUUAUGCUGGAAGGCAUAUUUCGAUAAUAUGACGAUCAAGAGAAAAAUAGCAUGAAAGAAAAAUGUCACAAUAAUAAAACAAUAAUAAAGAAUAUUUAAUGAUGUUAUCCAUCUAUAGAUCCAUCAAAUAGAUAAAUCUAAAUUAUUUAACUAGGAAUCUAAAUUACUUGCCUCGGAAGGUGGAUAAAAUUUUAGCCAAAAUUAAAAAAUUCGAUAUGUGAACAAUUAAAAAAAGUUGCGAAAUAACAUAGAAUUAUUUUAAUAGAAUUUAUAUAGUUUAGAAUAGAUUUAUAUAGUUUAGAAAUAAUCUGUAAACGUGAUCUACACGUGAGUAGAUGCUAGAAUAAAUGUAGCUAACAUUUCCGCGUCAUUCCACAUCUAUUUUCGCACUGAACAUAGUCAUUAUAUUAUUUUAGACAAAACCAGCCUUGUACCAGUAUUUCAAUUGUUAUCAACACUUAUAUAACUUAAUAACGUUCACAAGCGAAACUGUACUACGGAAACUUGUGUUCUUAUUAAGUCUCAAUACUAAUUGUAAGUACAGAUAGGAAACGAAAGUUCGUUAGGCAAAUAGAACAGAGAGGAAGCACUCCCAUACGAGCACCAUCUUUUAGCGAUAGUUUAGUUUAUAAACAUUGUAAAGCUGUACUAAAGAUCUCUGAAGGAGAAAUAAAUAAAUACAUACUAA